AGUCCGAGUCAUCUACAUAGAACUCUCUCUCCUUCUUCUAAAAAAAAGAAAUUUCUCUCCUUUCCCCCCGUGCGAUCCCCACCAGGCUCCUCCUGCACAUCCGCCAUUUCUUCCGAUUUGCCGCCGGCGAAGGAUGGCGUCACUGUGCCUCAUCAGGAAACUAAUCCUCAUGCUAUCCCGGAUCCACAUGUCGCUUCUUUUCUCCUGAUUUUUCUUCCCUGGUGGUGGCACAUGUGGCUGGGUGAGUGCGUGGAUCUCGGCGACCUCGUCAAGUCUGGCAACGCGGUCACAGAGAUGUCCAGGGAGAACACCUAUGCUGCUCAAACUUAUUGUAGCCGGAGGCUCUGGAUGUUGGGGCCACAGAGGCAUUGGGGGAGCUCGCAGAGGAAAAAACAUCAGCAAGAUCACGAAGGGCCAUUUUGAGUCGCUUGGUGACAUAAUGAUUUUAGGAGCAUCACUCGCAAACCUACCUUUAGUUUAAGCUCGUGGUUCGGAAUUCCUGGGAAGGUCAUGUUGUUAAGGAACUCCGUUGGAAACAUAUUCCCCGUUGUGUUGUACUUCAUUGUUGCCUUGCAUACAGUGUCCAAGCUUAGCUAUGUCACCUCUUCACCUUGUAUUUGGCUCAUUAUGUAGUUAUUUAUCUUCUCAACUGUUUCAUUCCUUGGGCAUAGUAUUGCUCUUUCUUCGAGAAAUUCACGGUCACGAUAGUUUUGUUGCAAGUUUGAGUACGUGCUUUUGACUAUGUCUUCUUUCGGGUCUUCUCCUUUAUGUAGAAUUAUGUCUUUAGCUAUUCUUACCCAAUCAUCUCCUUCAUCAUUUGUCUUUUUUCAUCGCCAAUUUGUAAUAUCCAUUCUGCAAAUUCAGCCACAUUUUGCCUUUGUAUUGGAUCUUCUGACAUGCACUCCAGCCGCAUGUUUUCAGUUAGUCUAAAUAUUUCGAAGUGCUUCCAUAGGUAUGACCUUUUGAUUCAUGCAUUUACUAUGUGCUCUCUCUUUCCCUUUCGUAUCACUGGAAGUAUUUUUCUGAAAUCGCCUCCUAGCACAACUGUGAUGCCGCCAAAUGGCCUUUCGUCACUAUUUUGGUUUGUGAACCUUAGAAUAUCCCUAAGGCUUUUGUCUAGUGCCUCGAAGUAGUGUUUGUUUGUCAUAGGAGCCUCGUCCCACAGUAUAAGUGAGGUCUUCUUUACCAGUUCAGCCAAAUGUGAGACUUUUUUUAUUUCACAUGUUGAUUCUUCCAUGAUAUUUAUUGGAAUGUGGAAUCUUGAGUUCGCUGUUCUUCCACCAUGGAGCAGCAAAGUUGCAAUGCCAGAUCAUGCUACCGCAAGCACUGUCUUUCCGUCUGAUCAUAGCUUUGUUGUAAUUGCCUUCCAUAGAUAGGCUUUUCCUGUGCCACCGUAGCCUUCUACAAAUAUCUGUUUUCCAAGACCUCUCUCAGCUGAUUCUAUUAUUGCAUCAAAAGCCAUUUUCUGGUCGUGGUUAAGAUUGCAUAUUAUUGUUUCGUGCUCACUCUUUAGUGCCUCCAUGUCAUGGCUAAGUUCUUCGUUUAUCAUUCUGUUCCCAAGUUGUUCAAGUUCUGUAGCAUUUGGUAGUUCUAUGUUUGGAUAGUCCUUCGGUGUCUUUCCUGCUUGCCUCAUUAGUUUUUCUAUCUCGAUCACUGCAUAUGUUCUUUUCUGUGAAUCAGUGAGCUUUAGCAUAGGAAAGUUUAGGAUAAUUCUUCUUUUAUACUGGAUAUCUUCAGACAGUGCCUCGCAUGUUGAAUCCCACAACAUCUUUGGGCUGGUCACCUCACAAUGGCAUAAAAUUGUGGCGAAUAGUUGUCGUAAUUGUGUCCCUGAUCCCCAGCUUGAUGCUUCAUUGAUGCAUUCAAUCCACUCACUGUCGUCAUUAAGAAAUCCAAGUGCUUGGAAUGCUGAUUUGUAUGUUGGGUGAACAAAUCCAUUAACUAUUCUAAUAUCCUCAAAUGAUGUGCAUCCUUUCUUGGUGUUUAGAAGCAUUCUCAUAUAAUAUCGGUCGCCACUUGCAGGGUGUGCGUAGUAGAUUCUUCCAAUCUCAAAGCCCCUUUUCCGCUCCUCCCUAGUUUUGCUUUCGCUUUUCCAUACAAAUUUUCAUGGGAAUUCUGCAUAGGUUAAUUCUUUUCCCACCUCAUUUAUUUUUUUGCCUCCAUCCCACAACAUCUUUGGGCUGGUCUUCUUACUAUCUUCUCAAUGUCAGUCGAGUCCGAAAAAAUAACUUGUUGCUCAUUUUCAAUGUGGAAUGGCAAUCUCUCGACCAGUGGAUCACGAUGGUGAAGAUCAAACUGGAAUAUCCGCUAGCAUGCUUCGGUUGUUGAUAUGUAUCUCAUCUUUAGGUAUUUCUUGAUUUCAUCAUAGUCAUUUGCCGCAUCGCUUUCCUUCAGUAAGGCUGUUACUUGGUCAUCGUCUUUAUGGAUGUACUUAAAUAGGUACUUGAUUGACCCGGACCUGUUGCACCACUCGACAUUUAUGUGAGCUUGGAAUUUAACCAAAAGGUUUCUGUUGUAUGGCACGACAGAUCUGUUGUCGAGCAUUGAUCCUCCCUUUUGAUCUUCCUUGCAUUGUCUCGCCUUCUAUAUACUGGAAAGCCAUCCUCAUCGAUUGUGGUAUCGACGUUGUACAUCAUGCAUGGCGAUUUUGUAUUUUCCUCUCCGCAAUGCCUGUGCAUCAUGAAAUCCUCAACUGCUACAUAUUCGUCCGGAUCGACAUCUUUGUCUGGGAUCUCCACACUGAUUAUUUGGUCGAUUUAUGAUGGUCCUUUGCACUUGUAAUUCUCUUUGAGGAAUACCAGUAUGUGCGCAUGCGGGAGUCCCCUCUUCUGGAACUCUAUUGUGUAGAUAACUACAUUGAUUAAAUAUAUAUGAUUUUGUUACAUUUCAGAAUCAUUUUAUUAUAUAGACAAAGGCUAUGGUGUGCUAAAAUAUUGAAAAUUGAGAUGUUAUUAGUUGCGAUGAGUAGUCGACUGAUCUUACUUGCUAUCGUUUCUCCAAAGUGUUUCUUCACAACGAUGUCUCUCGUUAGCUCCUUCAUUUUUAUCAUGAAUAUUGAUCAACAAUAUUUGGCCGGUCAGCUGCAUUUAGGCCUCCUCCUUCUUCAUCUAGCAUGUAUUGGAUCUAAGGCCACUUUGCAUUGCAUUUGA